rnacentral:ncRNA from 2 species
UUACCCAAUUGAGGCGCGCUGUUUAUAAGUAGAUCGAGUCAGGGUGACGUCCGUAGCUCGUUUGAAAGGAGACAGUGCCGAAGUGAAGCAAUCGUCAUAUUGUUUUGCUGGUGUUGCAUUUAAAAGAUGUAACACUGUCACGGUUUUUACUGUGGAGAGCUACCGGGUAU